GCGGGUUUAGCUCAGUUGGGGUAAGUUGCAAAACUUGGAAAGCUCCAGCACAUUUGUCUAACAAUCUCUCUAGAGAGCGUCAGACUGAAGAUCUGAAGGUCAUGUGUUCGAUCCACAUAAACCGCA